rnacentral:tRNA from 2 species
GGAAAAAUCGCCUAAUGGUAUGGCAAUAGUUUGCUAAACUGUGCAUCAAAUAAGAUGCUUAGGGGUUCGAAUCCCCUUUUUUCCG